rnacentral:tmRNA from 1 species
CCACUUUGCAAACCACUCGAUAAUCCCUAUAUAGGAAGUGCCGGCUUGCCGGAUAUGGUGAUAAACGAGCGGUGAAAUAAACCCAUUGGACCCGGGGGCGGUACCCGGCGCCUCCACCAGAAACCGUUGCAACGGAACGGCUUCUGAUGGGGGCGAAAUAGGAUCGACAAGGGCGUAAAGAUCGUCUUUUUACUCGGCAUUGUACCACCGUUAUCGGGCUAACAUUAUAGUUGCAAACGACAACUAUGCUGAAGCACGUCUCGCUGCUUAAUCGCAGUGUGACACUUCAAAUCAAGUCCUUGCGGGUAGCACUGUAAGGCGGGGUUCGAAGGCACCUGGCAACAGAAGCCUUCACU